CCUACGGGUGGCUGCAGUGGGGAAUAUUGGACAAUGGGGGGAACCCUGAUCCAGCCAUGCCGCGUGUGUGAAGAAGGCCCUCGGGUUGUAAAGCACUUUCAGUGAGGAAGAACGCCUGGUGGUUAAUACCCAUCAGGAAAGACAUCACUCACAGAAGAAGCACCGGCUAACUCCGUGCCAGCAGCCGCGGUAAUACGGAGGGUGCGAGCGUUAAUCGGAAUUACUGGGCGUAAAGCGCGCGUAGGUGGCUUGAUAAGCCGGUUGUGAAAGCCCCGGGCUCAACCUGGGAACGGCAUCCGGAACUGUCAAGCUAGAGUGCAGGAGAGGAAGGUAGAAUUCCCGGUGUAGCGGUGAAAUGCGUAGAGAUCGGGAGGAAUACCAGUGGCGAAGGCGGCCUUCUGGACUGACACUGCCACUGAGGUGCGAAAGCGUGGGUAGCAAACAGGCUUAGAUACCCUAGUAGUC
rnacentral:rRNA from 1 species